rnacentral:rRNA from 1 species
UACGGAGGUUCCAAGCGUUGUUCGGAAUUACUGGGCGUAAAGGGAGCGCAGGCGGACAGGUCAGUUUAAAGUGGAAUCCCAGGGCUCAACCCUGGACGUGCUUUGGAUACUGCCUGUCUUGAGUUCGUGAGAGGAAAGUGGAAUUCAGGGUGUAGUGGUGAAAUGCGUAGAUAUCGGGAGGAACACCAGUGGCGAAGGCGGCUUUCUGGCCUGCAUCCGACGCUGAGGCGCGAAGGCUGGGGGAGCGAACGGGAUUAGAAACCCUAGUAGU